rnacentral:tRNA from 1 species
GCCUCCAUAGCUCAGUGGUGAGAGCACUGGUCUUGUAAAACCAGGGGUCGUGAGUUCGAUCCUCACUGGGGCUA